rnacentral:misc_RNA from 1 species
UAGAGUCAUAAACUCUUCAAACCCAUGUGAACAUACCUCUGUUGCCUCGGCGGACUGCCUGGUGGCUACCCUGUAGCUAUCCUGUAGGCCGCCGACGGAUUUUAAACUCUUGAUUUUUUGUACAUCUCUGAGUCAACUUAAAUAAGUUA